rnacentral:rRNA from 1 species
UACAGAGGUCCCGAGCGUUGUUCGGAUUCACUGGGCGUAAAGGGUGCGUAGGUGGUGACGUAAGUCGGAUGUGAAAUCUCGGAGCUCAACUCCGAAACGGCAUUGGAAACUGCGUUGCUAGAGGGUUGGAGGGGGGACUGGAAUGCUUGGUGUAGCAGUGAAAUGCGUAGAUAUCAAGCGGAACACCGGUGGCGAAGGCGGUUCUCUGGGCCUUACCUGACGCUGAGGAGCGAAAGCGUGGGGAGCGAACAGG